rnacentral:rRNA from 1 species
UGUAGUCAUAUGCUUGUCUCAAAGAUUAAGCCAUGCAUGUCUAAGUAUAAACUGCUUUAUACUGUGAAACUGCGAAUGGCUCAUUAAAUCAGUUAUAGUUUAUUUGAUAGUACCCUACUACAUGGAUAACCGUGGUAAUUCUAGAGCUAAUACAUGCUAAAAAUCCCGACUUCGGAAGGGAUGUAUUUAUUAGAUUAAAAACCAAUGCCCUUCGGGGCUUCCUGGUGAUUCAUAAUAACUUCUCGAAUCGCACGGCCUUGCGCCGGCGAUGGUUCAUUCAAAUUUCUGCCCUAUCAACUUUCGACGGCUGGGUCUUGGCCAGCCGUGGUGACAACGGGUAACGGAGGGUUAGGGCUCGACCCCGGAGAAGGAGCCUGAGAAACGGCUACUACAUCCAAGGAAGGCAGCAGGCGCGCAAAUUACCCAAUCCCGACACGGGGAGGUAGUGACAAUAAAUACUGAUACAGGGCUCUUUUGGGUCUUGUAAUUGGAAUGAGUACAAUUUAAAUCCCUUAACGAGGAACAAUUGGAGGGCAAGUCUGGUAAUCG